rnacentral:tRNA from 1 species
GGAUUAUGGCUCAAUGGUAGAGUGCUUGCCCAGUACACAAAAGGUACUGGGUUCAAACCUCAGCACCA